UGGGGCAUAUUGCACAAUGGGCGCAAGCCUGAUGCAGCCAUGCCGCGUGUAUGAAGAAGGCCUUCGGGUUGUAAAGUACUUUCAGCGAGGAGGAAGGCAUUAAGGUUAAUAACCUUGGUGAUUGACGUUACUCGCAGAAGAAGCACCGGCUAACUCCGUGCCAGCAGCCGCGGUAAUACGGAGGGUGCAAGCGUUAAUCGGAAUUACUGGGCGUAAAGCGCACGCAGGCGGUCUGUCAAGUCGGAUGUGAAAUCCCCGGGCUCAACCUGGGAACUGCAUUCGAAACUGGCAGGCUAGAGUCUUGUAGAGGGGGGUAGAAUUCCAGGUGUAGCGGUGAAAUGCGUAGAGAUCUGGAGGAAUACCGGUGGCGAAGGCGGCCCCCUGGACAAAGACUGACGCUCAGGUGCGAAAGCGUGGGGAGCAAACA
rnacentral:rRNA from 1 species